rnacentral:rRNA from 1 species
GACGAACGCUGGCGGCGUGCCUAAUACAUGCAAGUAGAACGCACAGUUUAUACCGUAGCUUGCUACACCAUAGACUGUGAGUUGCGAACGGGUGAGUAACGCGUAGGUAAUCUGCCUGGUAGCGGGGGAUAACUAUUGGAAACGAUAGCUAAUACCGCAUAAUAUUAAUUAUUGCAUGAUAAUUAAUUGAAAGGUGCAAUUGCACCACUACCAGAUGGACCUGCGUUGUAUUAGCUAGUAGGUGAGGUAACGGCUCACCUAGGCGACGAUACAUAGCCGACCUGGGAGGGUGGUCGGCCAAACUGGGACUGGGGCACGGCCCAGACUCCUACGGGAAGCAGCAGGAGGGAAUCUUCGGCAAUGGGCGGAAGUCUUACCGAGCAAAGCCGCGGGGGUGAAGGAGGGUUUCGGAACGUAAAACUCUGUUGUAAGGGAAGAACGAGUGUGAGAGUGGAAAGUUCACACUGUGACGGUAUCUAACCAGAAAGGGACGGCUAACUACGUG